CUCACAUAAUGAAUGGCUGUCCUUGCUGCCGAAAGCAUCACACCUGAUUGAAAGGCCCACGAACUCUGCUCCUGCCCUGCCAGCCCGGGAGCUGAGAUUGAUGUGCCAAGUGGGAACACGAACCCUGGGCUUCAUGAGCAGUCUGAGGCAGCCAACUCCAUGGACGAAUGGAAAAACUGGGCACUUUGGCAUCAGUCCUAUCCCAAAGACUUUAAAACCAGCCCUCAGACCACAUUACCAAGUCAGAAAAGAAAGCAGGAGACUGCAAUAGAGCCCAGUCAUCUGUCCUGAUUGCAAUCAGCACAUCCUUCUGAAUACCAAUG
rnacentral:lncRNA from 12 species